UCCGUGUUGACCACGGCAGUCUCCUACGAGUCCUCGGCAUUACCCGUUAGCAACAUAGGACAAGGGUUGCGCUCGUUGCGGGACUUAACCCAACAUCUCACGACACGAGCUGACGACAGCCAUGCACCACCUAUCGCCGGCCCCGAAGGACACUACAUCUCUGUAGCUUUUCCGGCGUAGUUCAAUCCAGGUAAGGUUCUUCGCGUUGCAUCGAAUUAAGCAACAUGCUCCGCUGCUUGUGCGGGUCCCCGUCAAUUCCUUUGAGUUUUAGCCUUGCGGCCGUACUCCCCAGGCGGGAUACUUAAUGCGUUAGCGACGGCGCGGAAAGUGUUGGUUACUUCCCACACCUAGUAUCCACCGUUUACGGCGUGGACUAC
rnacentral:misc_RNA from 1 species